rnacentral:rRNA from 1 species
UACGGAGGAUCCAAGCGUUAUCCGGAAUCAUUGGGUUUAAAGGGUCCGUAGGCGGUUUGGUAAGUCAGUGGUGAAAGCCCAGCGCUCAACGGUGGAACGGCCAUUGAUACUGCCAGACUUGAAUUAUUAGGAAGUAACUAGAAUAUGUAGUGUAGCGGUGAAAUGCUUAGAGAUUACAUGGAAUACCAAUUGCGAAGGCAGGUUACUACUAAUGGAUUGACGCUGAUGGACGAAAGCGUGGGUAGCGAACAGG